GCCCAGGUGGCGGAAUUGGCAGACGCACCAGCUUGAGGUGCUGGCAGGGGUAACCCUAUUGGAGGUUCGAGUCCUCUCUUGGGCA
rnacentral:tRNA from 1 species